GGGUGGCUGAAGCAGGAGAAUCGCUUGAACCUGGGAGGCAGAGGCUUGCAGUGAGCUGAAAUCACGCCACUCUCCUCCAACCCGGGCAAUAGAGUGAUACUCCUUCUCAAAAAAAAAAAAAAUACUAUGAGCUACUCAAUAUCUUUUUAAUAAAUUUGCUUUCUGCUUAAUCAUCCAAAUCAGCUUCUGUUGCUUGCAAUAUAGAAUCCUGACUGAUAUACUGGGAUUUUUUUUCCUUAAAGACAUAGAUUUUGGAUUUAUUUUUUCCUGGUAUUUCCCCUUACUAUUUCUAAAAUAUUAUCUUCCAUCUUAAUGAGUUUCCCCUUCCCCCAGCUAAUUUUCUUGUCCUUUUUCUAUUUCUCAAGAAUAUUGUUUUAGCCUGGAUUCUCUAGAAAACAGAACCUUUGGCAAGUUUGUAUGCCAACACCUCACUGGGGAGUGCAACCUCAGAGAAACCAGAUUGAGGGAAAAAUGAGGCAAGAAGGAGAAGUGCAAAGAUAAGAGGCAUUACUGAGAGGACCCGAGUUUUGUAAUUAAUGAAGCUAACUGCUUGGACUCACAGUACAUCUUCAGAUCUUCAGAGAAGUUGUAUGAACUACCCUGUCUUGGAACAUCCUCAGGAGGAGAAACUGGAACACACUUUUUUCUCCUGCCUUUGGACAUCGGAACUCCAGGCUCUCCAGGCUUUCCAGACUCUGGACUUAACAGCAGUCUCUGGACUUACAACAGCAGCCCCCUGGAUCCUCAAGCCUUUGGCCUCAGACUAAUAAUUAUAUCAGCAACUUCCUGGUUCUGAGGCUUUUGGGCAGCCAUGCUACUAGCAACCCAGCAGUUCCAGCAGAAGGCCUGUUGUGGGACUUCUCAGCCUCCAUGAGCAUGUAAGCUUGCUUAAAAGAACUCCAGAUGGCCCGGGAGCUGCAGGACCCUUUGCCAAUUAUCAGAGGAAGAUAAGGCCUGUGUGAAACCGGGACAAACCUGAACCAGCGACCCCGUGUUACCUUUAGAUCAUUAACAUAUCAUCAUAAUGCUAAAACCUCACCCAUAGAAGAUAAUUGCUGCCAUUUUCUGAAUAUACAUUAUAUGAAGAAGCAUGUUCAUGAUCUGCACCUGCACAUCUGGAGUUCCUCCCCAUACAUGUUUACGUACCUCCCUGCCCCACAUCUAACUCCUUAAAAUCCCCCAGCUUCUCAUAUCUCAGGGAGAAGGAGUCUUUAGAGAAAGAGCUCCCUCCUCCAUUCCUGGCCAGGAAUAAAACCUGCUUGCCUUUUUUCCCAAUUAGGUGUUACAGUAGAACUCAGUUACCCUGUAACAAUAAGAAUUGCAUUAAAUCCUUAUAUCAACUUGGGAAGAAUUGACAGCUUUACCAUAUUAAGUCUUCUAAUCCAUAAAUAAGUAUGUUCAUCCAUUUUUUUAGAUUUUUGAAAUUUCUUUCAUCAGCAUUUUGUAGUUCUUUGCCUCACUAUCUAGAUCCCAAAUAUUUUCUGUUUUUUUUUUCUGAAAGUUUUAUCUCUUACAAUUUAAACCUGAGUAGUUCUCAGCAUGCAAGCCCCAUACAUGUUUUGUUGGAUUUAAAUUUAAGUACUUUGGUUUUUGAUAAAUUGUAAGUGCUACUGUAUUUUAAGUUUCAGUGCCCAUGUGUUCCUUGCUGGUAUAAAGAAAUACAACAUAUUCCUGCAGUCUAGCUGAAGUCACUUAUCAGCUCUAGGAGUUUCUGUUUUUUGUUUUAUUUUUGGUAGAUCUUUGAGAUUUCCUACUUUGAUAAGCAUGUUAUCCACGAAUAGGGACAGUUUUAUUACUACCUUUCUGAUCUGUAUGCCUUUUAUUUCCUUUUCUUACCUUAUUGCAUUGGGUAGAACUUCUAACACUGUUUAACAAUAAUGGUAAGAGCAGUCAUCCUUGCCCUUUUCCUCUUCUCAGGGGUACAACCAUUCAGUCUUUCACUGUUAAGUAUGAUGCUGGCUGUGGAGUUGUUAUAGAUGCUCUUUAACAAGUUAGGACAAAUUCCCUCUAUUUCUCUUUUUCUGAGCAUUUUUAAAACCAUGAAUGGGUAUUUUGUGAAAUGCUUUUUCUGUAUUGAUUGGUAAGAUCAAUUUUCUUUUGUAUCCAGUUAGUAUGUUGGAUUAUGUUGACUGAUUUGUGAAUAGUAAAACUGCCCUGCAUUCCUGCAGUAAGCUUCGCUGUGUUACAAGAUCUUUGGGGUGUUGCUUUUCUGGCCAGAAACCUCUGUGGCCAGUGGUGCCUUUGCCCAAGUUUUGUUUGGGCUCACUGGGCUCAUUCCGCCCACUCGGCCUGGCAGGCUGUGCUCAGCUCAUGCUACCAGCCUGGACCCCAUGUCUGCCAAAGGCAAGUCAGGCAUGGAGUGGCAAGGGGUGUGUGAGUGAGCGUGGGGUCUGGCCACUGUGCAGUCAGACAUGUCAGCUGCUGCAGUGGGGUGGGCAGCUCCAGGUGCUGGCACAGGCACUAGUCCUCUGUGAGGCUGUGGCUGAGCCAGGCACACUGCACGCAGCUUCCACAGCUGGUACUGGGGAACAAAGUGGUGCCUGGAGGCUUGGAGAUGCCAGGAACCACAGGGCUCCCAAGAAAGAGUCAUAGCCCUGGCUUGGGGAGCUCCCAGGUCUGGGCUUCCCGAAGGGCCAUAGCUAUUCUUUCUUUCUCUUCACCCUCAAUGUAGUGAGCAAGGGGCAUGUUUCAACCCUGUUUGUGUUACAGCUCUUUUAGCCCUACCAUUCAAUGGGUCCCAAGUUCUUGUCCUAUAACCAGGAAGAAUGAGGUACCCAGACAAGUGGAGGGUGAGCAAGAUGAAAAGGAGCUUUACUGAGCGACAGAACAGUUUGGAGGAAACCCGCAGUGGGUAGCUCCUUUCCACAGCCAGGGUGUCCUGAUGAGUGUUCAGCUCCUAGCAAAGAGGAGGCCCUGGAGUGGGAAGCUCCUCUUUGCAUGCAGGUGGUCACAUUGUCUCUGCAGCUCUCAGCAGAGAGGAGGCCCUGGAGUGGGUAGCUCCUCUCUGCUGUUGGUCAUCCUAAUGUCUGCUCAGCUCUGGUUGAGCGCAGGGGUAUUAUGGGCUUCAGAGGGGGGAAAGUGUAUGCCAACUGGUCCAUGGGCAGGCCCAGAAAAGGCACCACAAGCUCCCACUCUGGUCUGUGGGGCUGGCAGCCCGACGCCAGCCUUCAGGCCCUCCCUGGCCUGAAGGUGGGGCCUCACUGGGGACCUGCCCCCUUCUGCCCAGGAGCCCAUCUGCCUCCUGCCACUGCACAUGGCACCCAGGCUGCUCACAGCAAGGGGCACCUACAGGCCAGGGCAAGCCGCCCUCAACUUCGUCAUUGUGUAUACUUUUUUUUACAUUGUUGAAUUCUACUUGCUAAUUUAAAAAAAUGUUGCAUCUAUAUUCAUGAUAUUAGUCUUUUGUUUUUUGUACUAUCUUUUUUUUUUGGUUUGAGUAUCAGAUUUAGUACUAGCUUCAUAAAAUAAAUGGGAAAGUCUACUCUCAUCUUCAAUUUUCUGGAAGAGAUUUUGUAGAAUUAGUGUUAAUUCUUUUUUAAACUUUUGGUAGAAUUGUCCAGUGAACUCUCCUGGUCUAGGAGCUGUUUUUAAAUUUUAGUUUUAAAAUUACAAAUUCAACUUUUAAAAUUCCAUUUCAUACUGGGUGAGUUGUAGUUUUUGAGGAAUUGGCCUGUUUAAUUUAAGCUGUCAAAUUUAUGUGGGUAGAGUUGUUUGUAGUAUUCCCCUACUAUCCUUCUGAUGUACACAGAGCCUGUAGUGAUAUCCCAUUUCAUCCUUGAUGUUUCAUUCCGUUUCACCCUCUUUCUUUUCUCUCCUUAUUACUGGUUGUGGGAAUGGGAAUUCCAGCUUCUCCCUAGGCCUCUACUAAGACCUCCCUGACUUGGGGGACAGUUGGGUGGGGCGGCUCAUGACUGCUCCCCAAGGGGCCUCCACUGACACAAGGGGUGGUGGCCUCAUUACCACUAGUUGGUGGUGAAAGUCCUGAUCCCCCUCUGGGUUUUCUGGUACACUGCCCCAGCAGAGCAGAGAGGGGCACCUCAUGACUGCUGGAUGGGAGUGGAAGUCCAGACUCCCCCACUGUCUUCACUGAUAUUGCAGGGAGCCCAUGGGGAGAGUUGGGGUGCCUCUUUACAGCCUGGUGUGGGUGGAAUUCUAGGAUCUCCACCUCUGCCUUUGCUUGUGUGAGUGUGGGUAGGGCCACAGUCUUUCUGUGGUGUUCGGCUGGAGUAGAGAGGUUAUUGUCUCAAGGUUUUCUGUCUCGUAAGGCUGCCCAUUUUCUGCUUUCUGUUUUGUUUUUGCUUUGUAUAGAGGGAGUAGGCUUUUGAUGGGGCUUUUCCCCCCAUCUCAAACACUAGAAUUUCCAGGUCGCGAGCUUCUUCAGUUCUAAGUCUGGGAUAUAUGAGGCAAAAUGAAAGCCAGGAGAAUGCACUAUGCGGUCCCAAGUUUCCUAGCUGGUCUGCCUUCUUUUCUCAACUUUUCAGAAUAUUUUUAUACUUGCUUUACAUACAAACUAAAUCUACUGAAAAAAUACAAUAAUCAAAAUAAAUGGAUGGGCUCAAUAGCCAAUAGAGGAGACAGAGGAAAAAAAAAUCACUGCACUGACAACUAUAACUAGAGAAAUCACCCAGACUGAAAAACAGAGAGAAAAUAAAUGGAAAAAAAUGAAUGGAGCUUCAGGGACCUGUGAGACUAUCACAGGGUCCAGUGUUUGUGUCAUCGAACUUGCAGAAGGAGAAGAGAAAGAAGACAAGGCUGAAAAGGUAUUCAAAGAAAUAAUGGCUGAAAGUUUCCCAAAUGUUCAGAGUUUUUAGUUGUCCUUACUGGGAGGAAUAGGGAGAAGCGUGUCUGCUCUAUCUUCCUGAAAGCUAAAGAACCAAGCACUGCUGGAUGGGGACCCAGGGUCUCCAAGCUGAGAAGAACACUGAUAAGGCAUGCACGGAAGCAGUCCUGGGAGGACUCUGCCACAGGCACAAACACCACUGGACACCCAAAGUCAUACUGCUGGGCGCUGGAGUCCAUUGCUUCUUCUGAGAAGAAUCGCUAACUUUUCUCGGGUCUUUGUACCUUUAGCCCCUGAUUCAAAGUCUUAGGGAGGCUCACCUAAGUGGCCAGUCGCAGGGAGUGUGCCCAGCCCUGCCUGUCAGCAGGUGUGGAAAGGAAAUGUACAGCAUUCUGCAGCAUCCCUGGUGGAAGCUGGAGCCUGUCUUCCAUUAAGCCGUACUCACUGUGGGAUUCCUCAAUUUGUCCAAUUAGGAGAAAAUGGAUGCUCAGAGAAGUGAAGCCAGUCAUCCAACAUUAACAGCACUCAGCCCCAUGAAAUGAUCUUAAUGACUCCACAAGAAAUAAAUGCUGAAGAAAAAUGGACUCCAGCCUCCUAGGCCCAGGAUUUCUUGAUGUUUCUUUGGUGUUUGGGAGGACACUGUAUUUCUGCAGCUUCAGGAUGGCUUAUGUACUCUCUGGCCUGUAUUUGUUCCUAGCACCCCUGGUUUGAGUUUACCAGAAGCCAGUGUGAGAUUCAGGGGCCAAUGUGUACUAUCAGCGACAAAUAUUGGUUAUCAGGUGAGAGGUCCUGUCUAAAGUGAAGCUGUGCUUGGAGCUCAGAUACUGACUCCAUGUGAAUGCAAUGGAUCUUGUGUGUUAGGAGGACAAGACUCCUGGAAUAGAAAUUCAGUGAGACCUCACACCAGAGCUCUAGGCAGGGGUGGAAAAGCCCCAGGCAAGGAGCUGGGCUAUAAACAAUUCUUGAUCCUUCUGUUCAGAGUGUGCAAAAUUUGCAUGGUGUUACCCCAUGCAGAGACAACUUGGGUUGUGUGCCAAUGGACGUUUCAGGGCACUUCUCAAAGGAGGGAGCUAAGCUGAGGGGCUUGGCAGGGGGCAGACUCCACAAUAAAAGGCUUAUUGGAUGUCUGUGAGGGUACACUCAAGACAGGAGAGAGUCAGCAGGCCCAGCUGAGAAAAUUCAAUCUCAACCUUCUCUAAAGACAUUCUCUGAAGACACAUGCUUUAUUUUCCACUCAUUCUUUCCUGAUCUGAGCUGGCCCUACACUCAUAUUAUAUCCAUCAUUGUCUUUGGCUUCUAAGGAUGUGCUGAUUGCCCUAUAGAUUGACAUACAAAGUUCAGAACGAUAAAAAUGGAAAGGCAUUAUAGUAUUAUCUAAAUAUGCCUCCUCAAUUUAAAGAUUAAUAAAACUGGGCUAGACUAGGUCACACAGUUGGUUAGAGGCAAUGUCAAGAUUAGAAGUUGCCCCAUUCUCAGUGUGCUGUUCAUCAUUCCAAAUAAAAUCAAAAUAAGAUAUCUUUAAAGGUUUCUCACUAGAAAUGAUGAUGAAGAGAGCACCAUCAAUAAAAGAGACAGACGUGCCUGAAAGCUCCUUCCCUGCCCUGCCCUUUCCAGUUUCCUGUGGAUUCUCAAGACCAUGAAAGGUUAGAAAUAUUAGCUGCAGAGAGAAAAGAAACAUAACAUGAACAUAUUUUCCUAUCAGUGGAUUUUCCCCUACAAGAUCAUUUUUGAAGAAGCUAAUGGUUAGGAGCACGGCCUCUGGGGCCAGACUUCCUAGACUCAAAUCCUGGCUCCAUGUCUUACUAGGUAUAUGACCUUGGGCAAAUUAACCUCUGUGCUUUGGUCUACCCAUCUGUAAAACAGGGAUAACAGUAUCUACUUCAUAGGUUGUUAUGAGGAUUAAAUAACCGUUUCGUCUUAUCUAUAUCCAUCUAUCUCUACAUAGAUAUAUAUAUGUAUAUAUAUCCUAGAAUAGUGCUUGGCAUGUAGUAAACUCUGCUAUAGCAGAGUUUUCUAUUAUCGACAAAUAGCAAGAUAUUCUGCCCUUUGGAUGUGUGAUAAUUUCUUUAGCCAAUCCCUUACUAUUGUAUAUUUGAUGGCCUUCAGCUUUUUGUUGUUAUUCAAAGGAGGAUAAAUUAUCACUAAAUCCAUCGGAAAUAAAUGUCUACACUCUCCAAAUAAUCCAUGUGAGAGUUACAAUGGACAGGUAGGUGCCAUUUCCUUCCUGUUUUUUUCUGGUAGCAAAGUAGGACAGGAAAUGUAGAGUCUAGUUGGGUGGCCAUAUGCCCUGCCAGAAUUCACUGGGGAGUUCUACUAUUAAAGGAAGAAGGGAACCAUGGCUACUGCAGGGCUAUCAGCAGACCCUGCCACAGCUUUUAACAUCCAUCCUAUCCCCUAGACUACAACUCUGUGGAAGUUUGGUUAAACAAGGUAAUCACAGGACUACCCUUAUGUUGUCACACUUUAGUGGAUAAAUGUUUAAAAAAACCUGGAUCUAUUUUUAUCAUCCCUUAAAUUUCAAACUCCCUUUGUCACCUGGUUUUAGGUACAUUUUUUUACAAGCCAUACAUAGUUGGAUUUAGUUUUCUAACUCACUGUUAAACUACCUCUGUCUUUGAUGUAGGAAUUCAAUUUGUUCAUAUUAUUUGUGAUAACAUUUAUUGAUUCUUUUUCAUUUUUACUUGUUUAAAGUCUAUUGUACUUUUCUUUUCCACUUUCCUUACUUUUUCUAUCUUGGUCAGUGUUCACUUUAUCAUUUAAAAAAAUUUAGGAGAAAUUCUACUAGGAAACAAAUGGAAAAAGACAAUCAAGAAAAUCAAGGGUAGGCCUAAAUGACUACUGGUAUGGAUACUUGUAAAAAGUCAUUAAAGAGACUUGAACUACAGAAAAACAGAUAAAUGUAAAAAAAACUUAGCUGCAAUUCUUACUACAAAACAUCACCUUUGUUAAUGUUCUAAUGCAUUAAGACUUUUCUGGAAAAUCAGAUAUUCUAUUAACAGAUAUUCAUAUGGAUAUAAAU
rnacentral:lncRNA from 1 species